UACGGAGGGUGCGAGCGUUGUUCGGAAUCACUGGGCGUAAAGGGCGUGUAGGCGGUUCGCUAAGUCUGAUGUGAAAGCCCGGGGCUCAACCCCGAACUUGCAGUGGGUACGGGCAGACUAGAGUGUGGUAGGGGAGACUGGAAUUCCUGGUGUAGCGGUGAAAUGCGCAGAUAUCAGGAGGAACACCAACGGCGAAGGCAGCACUCUGGGCCGGUACUGACGCUGAGGAGCGAAAGCGUGGGGAGCAAACAGG
rnacentral:rRNA from 1 species